UACGUAGGGGGCAAGCGUUGUCCGGAUUUAUUGGGCGUAAAGAGCGUGUAGGCGGCCAGACAGGUCUGCUGUGAAAACUCGAGGCUCAACCUCGAGAUGUCGGCGGAAACCUUCUGGCUAGAGUCCGGAAGAGGAGAGUGGAAUUCCUGGUGUAGCGGUGAAAUGCGCAGAUAUCAGGAAGAACACCAAUGGCGAAAGCAGCUUUCUGGGACGGUACUGACGCUGAGACGCGAAAGCGUGGGGAGCGAACAGG
rnacentral:rRNA from 1 species